GGGCGGUUAGCUUUAAAUGGAUAGAGUGCCUGGCUUGCAACCAGGGGGUUAUGGGUUCGAGUCCCAUACCGUCCACCA
rnacentral:tRNA from 1 species